UCUCAUGCAGUCAUUCUCCAAUGGGAAGCACCUUCUGUGGUCUGAAAGCAAGCAGAGGGCCUCCUUUUGGAGCAUUACUGUUUGAGA
rnacentral:pre_miRNA from 8 species